AGUCUGCAACCCGACUCCACGAAGUUGGAUUCGCUAGUAAUCGCGCAUCAGCCAUGGCGCGGUGAAUACGUUCCCGGGCCUUGUACACACCGCCCGUCAAGCCAUGGGAGCCGGGGGCGCCUGAAGUCCGGGACCGCGAGGACCGGCCUAGGGCGAAACUGGUAACUGGGGCUAAGUCGUAACAAGGUAGC
rnacentral:rRNA from 1 species